rnacentral:rRNA from 1 species
GACGAACGCUGGCGGCGUGCUUAACACAUGCAAGUCGAACGGAAAGGCCCUGCUUUUGUGGGGUGCUCGAGUGGCGAACGGGUGAGAAACACGUGUGUAACCUGCCCUUGACUUUGGGAAACCUUCAGGAAACUGGGGCAAAUACCGGAUAGGAGCUCCUGCUCCAUGGUGUGGGUUGGAAAGUUUCGGCGGUUGGGGAUGGACUCGCGGCUUAUCCGCUUGUUGGUGGGGUAGUGGCUUACCAAGGCUUUGCCGGGUAGCCGGCCUGGGAGGGUGACCGGCCCCAUGGGGACUGCGGUACGGCCCAGACUCCUACGGGAGGCAGCAGGGGGGAAUAUUGCGCAAUGGGCGGACGCCUGAUGCAGCAACGCCGCGUGCGGGAUGACGGCCUUCGGGUUGUAAACCGCUUUCGCCUGUGACGAAGCGUGAGUGACGGUAAUGGGUAAAGAAGCACCGGCUAACUACGUG